rnacentral:lncRNA from 1 species
ACUUAUUUCCCACCAUUUCUCUCUUCUCCUCCAAUUUCUUUUCCCUCUUGAAGUUGGCUUGCUGAAGAGACACCAAAGAUGGCUGAUUUUGGGAACAAUCUCAUCAAAAAUAUAAUACGAACUCUUAUUAUGGCUCCAGUCUAUACUACAGCAAGUUACAUUGCAUACAGAACUGGGCGCUGAUUUGAAACUUCAGAUGAAUUCGCGAGGCAAAGGCUGGCUGAAAUUUUGAAUUGGUUGCAAAGCGAGGUAAGUGUUUGGUCUACCUUAGCUUAAGGGAAUAGGAGUUGAGUAUAUUUAUUACUUGUUAUGUGAUGUGUCCGACGUGUAGGCAUGGUGACAAGCUUUUAUACGUUGGGAUCGAGCAUGACCGUAAGUCCUAAAUUACUUAAAUUGUUGUAUUCUUAUUUGAUGCUUGUGAGAACUUGGUUGAAAAUCUUUUAAGCUGAGCAAAUAAUUAUGCCACCAUUUGCCAGAAAAUAUAAUAAAGAGCAGUUGUUGAUAUCUUGGUACAUAGCAAAUGUACGCACAAAUUGUUCUCUUAUUGAAGUUCCUUGUUUUAAACUUAUAAUUUACAAGAACAAUAAAACUUAGCUUUACGCUAUUAGUGGUGGUCAAUUCAUUUCAAUACUUCAUCUUAGUUUCUCUAUUCAAAACUCCAUCAUCGGUCGAUAUGACUUAUUAGCAAAAAAAAUUUAAUUUUCUCGAUCUAUGAAAGAAAAUUAUUUACCGGAUUAGUAUAGAAUUGUAAAUUAACUAUUUAUGUUGGUACCUUAUAGUUUACUUUGUCAGAAGUGGACGAUAUCUUAUAUCCAAGAAAUAAUUAAUAUCAUAAUUUAACAGAGGAGGUAAAAAGAAAAAAAACAACACAAUAUGAACAAAUACUAUUGUACGCACACAAAAUUUUAAAUGAGGAGAAAACAAUAUGAAAAAUAUAUUUUAUAUGCAGUGGGGUCCAUGCACACCCAAAACCUUAAUUAAUACCUUAAGGUUUAACUGAAAGUCCAAAUAUUCACAUCUAUUUUUCAAUUAUAUAUUGUUUGAUUAUUUGUUAUUGGUUUUUCUUGCCGGUAGUAUAUUGUUUGAUUAUUCGUUAUUGGUUUCUUUGCCGAUAAUAUAUUAUUUGAUUAUUUGUUAUUGAUUUUCCUUGCCGGUAAUACAUUGUUUGAUUAUUUGUUAUUGGUUUCUUUGCUCGUAAUAUAUUGUUUGAUUAUUUGUUAUUGGUUUUUUUGCCGGUAAUAUAUUGUUUGAUUAUUUGUUAUUGGUUUUCUUUGCCGGUAAUAUAUUGUUUGUUAUUUGUUAUUGGUUUUCCUUGCCGGUAAUACAUUAUUUGAUUAUUUGUUAUUGGUUUCUUUGCCGGUAAUAUAUUGUACACUGAGUUAAAAAUGAAAUGGGAACGGGUGGUACGCCUACCACAAGAGAUAAUGAAAUGGGAGCGGGUGGUACGCCUACCACAAGAUAUAAUGAAAUGGGAACGGGUGGUACGCAUACCACAAGAUAUAAUGAAAUGGGAGCGGGUGAUACGCCUACCACACGAUAUAAUGAAAUGGAAGCGGGUGGUACGCCUACCACAAGAUAUAAUAAAAUGGGAGCGGGUGGUACGCCUACCAUAACAUAUAAUGAAAUGGGAGCGGGUGGUACGCCUACCACAAGAUAUAAAUAAAUGGGAGCGGGUGGUACGCCUACCACGAGAUACAUGAAAUGGGAGCGGGUGACACGUCUCCCACGAGAUACAGGAAAUGUGAUCGGGUUGCACGCCGGUAAUAAGAUAUGAAAAGAAAGUGAAAUAUACCUUUAUUUUUCUUAUUCUUGUUUGUGGUUCGACUUUGAUUCCCUUAUAAUUUUCUUUAUAUUCUAUUUGUAUUUAUCUUUUUAUAUAUAUGAUCAAUACUCCAAAUUUAAACAAUUGUUACAUUUUUAACUCAAUUAAUUUCUCAAUUACAUUUUCCUUGAACCAUUGAGGUUGUACUUUACUUAAAAAGGAAUCUCUACCAAGUUUCAAUCAUUUAUUUCUCACAUUAAAUGUAAUGAUUCAUUCAAUAUUGUACUUCAAAUGAAAAGGGUAUUUUCUUAAUCAAAUGAUUUCUAAAAAUAACAUCAUUUUUUCUUGUUGAUUUUCAUUUGGGUUGGAAGAUGUACUCUACUUUAUGAUAAGUGAAUGAGUCUUCCUGAACAUUCUUCAUUGUAAUGGUUAUGGAACCCGUAAACUGAAUAAUAUGAGGAUAUUUUGGUGCAAUAUGAGACAAAAAUAUGCGGGCACGAGGUGAUGUGAUAAUAUGAAAGUGGGCUGAGACCUAUAUUAAUUAUAAUUAUAAAAUGAGGUGUCACACGGUGACCUUUAUCCGAAAGAAUUAUAUUCGAAAGAUGCUUACUUGGAAGAUAAUUAUUUGAAGGAAAUAUAUUCGGAAUAUAUUAAUGGAAAACCAUAUUAUCUUAGAAAUUAUUACUUGAAGGAUUUAUAGGCGAAAAAUUUAUAUUUUAAGAACUCGAUUAAUUGAUUGCACUUAUAUUUAUUAUUUGUUGAGAAGCAAUUAUGGUGUUCUUGUUACCUGCUAUUUAUAUCACUGGUUGAUCAGUGUUGUCAUUAUUGUUAUUUGCUUCCUAUUAUUUUGUACAUUAUAAACUGCACAGGUUUAUAUGAGUGUCUAGUCCUAGCCUCGUCACUACUUCACCGGGGUAGGCUAGACACUUACCAGCACAUGGAGUCGGUUAUGUUAAUACUACACUUCUGUACAUUUUUUGUGUACAGAUUCAAGCAUUUGAUCGAUGGUAGCUAUUCGUUGCGGUGGAGACUCAACGUAAAUCUGCUAUAGCGUUCGUAGUCCUCGAAGUCACCUUCAAUUGUACUUAUUUCCAUUUUUUCCCUUUGUUACAGAACAAUGAUAUAAUUAUUAGAAAGGCUUGUAACUUGUAC